UACGUAGGGGGCAAGCGUUGUCCGGAUUUAUUGGGCGUAAAGAGCGUGUAGGCGGCCAGGUAGGUCCGUUGUGAAAACUCGAGGCUCAACCUCGAGACGCCGAUGGAAACCAUCUGGCUAGAGUCCGGAAGAGGAGAGUGGAAUUCCCGGUGUAGCAGUGAAAUGCGUAGAGAUCGGGAGGAACAUCAGUUGCGAAGGCGGCUCUCUGGACCAGCACUGACACUGAGGCACGAAAGCGUGGGGAGCAAACAGG
rnacentral:rRNA from 1 species